UCAUUUGUUGCGUGUGUCUGUGCUUUUGUUUUUUUUUUUUUUAAGAAUAAAGUUUAAGUCCUACAUAUUGCAUUAAUCUGUAACAGUUGUACACAAAAUUGAAAGCACAGCCAGAACAAAAAACACAGGAAACUCCAGCAUUUCAUUGGAAAAAGAAACCGAAAGAAAGACAAUAUCAGGAAUAGUGGACUGAAGGAGCCAGGAAAUCAAAUCUUCUGCUCUGGUAGCAGCUAUCAUCUUCCAAGGAGCUUGCGCGAAGAAAUUCGCUUCUCAGGAAAGACAUGCGAGAAACAAAUCUGAUAAAAUCUUGGAGCAGAGACUCAAUUUUAUUCAAGCAGAAUUGUGUAGCCAAGGACUUUCCAUCUCUGUUCUUCAUCCAAGAAACAGAAAUAAUAGUGAAGGAAUAGCUAUUAGGCACAUAAAAUUAAGUUUGAAAAUAUAUAGUUUCUAUUAUAUUUUAUGAACUUACAGAAGCUGGCUAAUGUUUCACCGGUGGUUGCGAUGGUGGUUACAAGCGUGGCGGUGGAGGAGGUGGACUCUUGUUCCAGUACUUCUUUCGCCUAGGUGGUUUCUGGGGGGACCUAGGUGGUUUCUGGGGGUACCUAGGUGGUUUCCAUGGGAACUUAGGUGGUUUCCAUGGGAACUUAGGUGGUAUCCAGGCGUGAACGUAAUAUUUAGGAAAAGACGGAGUUGGUCGAAAUGGGUUAGAUUUCAGCCUUUUGGACACAGCCUUAAACUUAUACGGGAAAUCGUAGGAAGGAACAUUAGCGUCAGCAGAGGAAGGAGCAGAAACAGCCUCGUUAGCCUCAACUACAUGAGUGGUAUGUGAAAGUACGAGGCCGAGGCCGAGGCCGAGGACCAACAUGAAAACUAGUAGGCAAGGAUUGGCAUCCAUUUGUUGAUGGCUAGAGUAGACAAUAUCGUGCUCAAAUAAUGAUUCAUGAAAGUGCAAAUACGCUACUUCAUUAUAUAGGCACCAUUCCAUCCGACCCUCGUGACGACUGAGUGCUAGCCCAUUGGUUAGGCAAGAACCUUUAAGUCAAGGUUGG
rnacentral:lncRNA from 1 species